rnacentral:tRNA from 3 species
GCGGUCGUGGCGAAGUGGUUAACGCACCGGAUUGUGGCUCCGGCACUCGUGGGUUCGAUUCCCAUCGAUCGCCCCA